rnacentral:ribozyme from 1 species
UGCCCAGCAACUCCUAUCCCUACCUCCUCGUGGUACUGGCCGGGGUACGAGUAACCUUGGGGAAGAUCGGGUAACCAACCCCCGGUGGGAACUUUAGUCGAAUGCUGACAGGGAAGG